UCCAGACUCCUACGGGAGGCAGCAGUGGGGAAUAUUGCACAAUGGGCGGAAGCCUGAUGCAGCAACGCCGCGUGCGGGAUGACGGCCUUCGGGUUGUAAACCGCUUUCGCCUGUGACGAAGCGUGAGUGACGGUAAUGGGUAAAGAAGCACCGGCUAACUACGUGCCAGCAGCCGCGGUGAUACGUAGGGUGCGAGCGUUGUCCGGAUUUAUUGGGCGUAAAGGGCUCGUAGGUGGUUGAUCGCGUCGGAAGUGUAAUCUUGGGGCUUAACCCUGAGCGUGCUUUCGAUACGGGUUGACUUGAGGAAGGUAGGGGAGAAUGGAAUUCCUGGUGGAGCGGUGGAAUGCGCAGAUAUCAGGAGGAACACCAGUGGCGAAGGCGGUUCUCUGGGCCUUUCCUGACGCUGAGGAGCGAAAGCGUGGGGAGCGAACAGGCUUAGAUACCCUGGUAGUCCACGCUGUAAACGGUGGGUACUAGGUGUGGGGUCCAUUCCACGGGUUCCGUGCCGUAGCUAACGCUUUAAGUACCCCGCCUGGGGAGUACGGCCGCAAGGCUAAAACUCAAAGGAAUUGACGGGGGCCCGCACAAG
rnacentral:rRNA from 1 species